UACAGAGGGUGCAAACGUUGCUCGGAAUUAUUGGGCGUAAAGCGCACGUAGGCGGUCUGAUAAGUCGGAUGUGAAAGCCCUCGGCUUAACCGAGGAAGUGCAUCCGAAACUGCCAGGCUUGAGUAUGGAAGAGGGUCUCGGAAUUCCCGGUGUAGAGGUGAAAUUCGUAGAUAUCGGGAGGAACACCAGUGGCGAAGGCGGAGACCUGGGCCAAUACUGACGCUGAGGUGCGAAAGCGUGGGGAGCAAAC
rnacentral:rRNA from 1 species